UUAAUGGUCUAUCCUCAGAGCUUCAGCAACUUCUAGCGAAGCAGAAGAUUACUUUCCACCUCAACCCCCCAGCAGCACCCCAUUUUGGUGGGGCAUGGGAGCGAGAGAUAAGAUCAGUCAAAUCUGCUUUGUAUACAGUUAUAGGAGCUCAGCCAGUCUUUGAAGAAGUACUCCGUACCGUCUUGUUGGAAGUCGAGGCGAUACUGAACACAAAGCCACUGGGAUAUACCUCAGCCAAUAUAGCAGAUCUGGAUGCAAUCACUCCGAACGUCCUCUUGAUGGGGCGGCUAGAUGGUGCUUUGCCCCAGGUGGUAUACAACAAAAGUGAAGGCUUGAGUAGGAGAAGAUGGAGGCACUGUCAGGUCUUGGCAGACCACUUCUGGUCUAGGUUUAUCAGGUACUACUUACCCACCCUGCAGCCUCGACAGAAGUGGCAUACCACCAAUGUGGAUCUUGCAGUCAACUCUGUUGUUCUGAUGAUGGACCCACAGCUUCCCAGGGCUCUUUGGCCAGUCGGCAGAGUGACUAAGGUACAUCAGAGUGUUGAUGGUUGUGUAAGGUCAGCCGAUGUCCGGAUCAAGGACAAAGUCUACACCAGACCAGUUGCCCGUCUCAUUGCCCUUCCAGCUAUCCCAGAUUCAUAAUGGAUUCCAUCGUAGUGCCUAUGGAAGCGGCUGAGCAGUGAGCCUUUCUCAGGAGCAAAUUGCAUGCAAUUUGGGGGCGGCUGUGUGAAAGUCUCACUAAUGACACUGAUUUACGACGUGGAUGGAUAAGAGCGCUCUCGUCCCGGUUGCGGGGACUCUUAUUUUGACGGAACGCAGCUCAUACGGUGGGGUGCUUCAGAGUGCGCGCGCACCGCGAUCCAGUCGCGCAUCAGCCGUCAUCUUCAGAGAGAACGAGCCGUGAAAUUCCCUGACUAAAUUCAGUUUUGAUCUUCGUUAUAUUCCUAUGAGUGUUUAAAGUUGUGUGCGUCCAGAGAGAAAACCACACACUCAUAUGCUGACACUCCUCAGGACAUACAGCAAAGACGAUACCACUUAGUACCCAUAUACAUGCUCAUCUUCGAUCUGUGCACAGAGAGCACUGUUUAAUACAGCUCAUUAGGAUCUGGCUCCCCCUCUUCAUAUGCUUGUAUAAAUAAAUCUGUUAAACUGGAUUCCUUCUCCGACUUUGGUGUUCUUACCGACACACCCGGACCAGCUUCACCUCAUUAGCAACAGCUAGCACCUUACAGUC